rnacentral:rRNA from 2 species
AAACUUCUUUAUCACCGAGUGCUUGCACUCACCGAUAAAGAGUUGAGUGGCGAACGGGUGAGUAACACGUGGGCAACCUGCCCAAAAGAGGGGGAUAACACUUGGAAACAGGUGCUAAUACCGCAUAACCAUAGUUACCGCAUGGUAACUAUGUAAAAGGUGGCUAUGCUACCGCUUUUGGAUGGGCCCGCGGCGCAUUAGCUAGUUGGUGAGGUAAAGGCUUACCAAGGCAAUGAUGCGUAGCCGAACUGAGAGGUUGAUCGGCCACAUUGGGACUGAGACACGGCCCAAACUCCUACGGGAGGCAGCAGUAGGGAAUCUUCCACAAUGGGCGAAAGCCUGAUGGAGCAACGCCGCGUGGGUGAAGAAGGUCUUCGGAUCGUAAAACCCUGUUGUUAGAGAAGAAAGUGCGUG